ACCUGAAAUGGUUUCUUCUUUACUCUUUCUUAGGCAAAAGAAGAAUUAAUGAACAAGAAGAAGAAGUCUUUUCAUGAACCCCUAACGCUGUCUAUCUUCUUUGUUGCAAUAGAUGUUCAGUUUUUUUUAUUUUUUUUACUCGAUCUGAAACUAGGGUUUUUCAAUUUGGGGAUUUUCUGACUCUGUUAGUGAAGAUGAUAUAUAUAAUUUAUUUUAAACGUGUUUCUGUUUAUAAAUAUGGUUGGUUGUUUUGAACAAAGGAAGGGUUUGUUAUUAUUGGGUUGGUUUAUUUGUGUUCGAAUUUUUUCUGGUUUUGACAUGGGUUUUCAGUAUUGAAAUCAUUAAGGUAUUUAGACUGCUCAGUUUAGUGGGAUGAAGAAGUUUGUUGUUUAUUGUUCAUCUGAUUUGUUGUUGUUGUUAUAUUGCAGAUGAAUAGAAGUGAAAACCCUAACAAUGAAGUUUGGCAGGGUAGAAAUGGUGCUCGACAAGAUGAAGCGACGUGUUGAGUAUGCAUGGAAGCAUAUUAGUUAGUAAACUGUUGCCUAUCUACAAUGCCGCCAAGGAAAAAAGAAAGACUAAGAAGAGCUGCAGAAGAAUGGAGAAGACUUUUGUGUUUGGAUGGGAAACCUGCAAUAAAGAUGUGGAAGUCCCAAUUAUAGUGGAAAAUCUUGGAGAAAGUUGAUGAAGAGCUAAUGAAAAGAGAUGUAAGGGCAACAUUAAGUCUCGUGAAGGAGUUAGUGGGAAAACCGGUGGUCUUUGUUGCUUUGACACAACAAGGAAGAUACUCCCAAAGCUAUACACUUUGGAUGAAUUGAAGCUGAAUGACAUUGAUCCUUCAGCAAUUCUUUCACCUGUGGAUGUGACUUUGAGUUCAUUUUGAAAGGUUGAUUCUCGAAAGCAUACAUCUAAGGUCAGAUUCCAAUAAGCUUUUUGAGUAGGUUACCCUGUACCAGUCCAGUUUUCUUUGGUUGCUGCUGAAGCUGGGGAAAUAGUUAUGAUCAUGCGAUAUUUUCAGGUCAGCGGAACCUUAAAUUUUCAGAUGAUUGAUGAAACACAUACCGAUGGAAUACCUAACCAAUGCUGACUGGUGAUUCCUUGUAUUACUAUCAAGUGCAGGACAUUACUUUUUUCCAUCUUCCUGGAUAUUUUAACUGCAUUUGCCUAUGGAACUCUAUUCAAGUGUAUUCCUGUGAAACAUAUGGUUGUAGGAAAAUAUGGAGUGGCUUUAGAAGUUUUAGAACUUAAAUUGGAUAAAAAGGAAGAUUUGGUAGCCGAGGCUGCUCGAGGGCUUGCUUGGGAUGGAUGGAAAUGUAGAAAAGAUGGAAAAGUAAACCCUUUAGCAGUUGAGAAAUAUAUAAUUUUUGAAGGGGUUAAUUCCACGAUGUGGAUAACAGCAGCAAUACAAACAACCUGCCACAAGCAAUUUAGUCACAGAUGUUGAAAGUCCUAA